CUCCGGUUUCUGUACCCAAACUUGGAACUCAUAAGGUAGGCAUAGGUGCUGCAAUGUUUGUGUACUGUUAAAGCGUAUUAUGGUGUCACAGCUGCCGUGACUCUUCACUUUACAGCGGUGUUGGCCGUUCCUGUUGUGUGCAGCUUCGGAGAGGACUUUGAAAAGCGCGGUGUCUGCUCUUCCUCACUGCGAGACGGUGACUGGGUUUGAGCUGUGCGCUGUGCUUAAGCUCCCUUCGCUCCGACACAAAUAUAUCUCCAUAAACACCCCGCAUCCCGGGGUAGGACACAGACCAGGUUGGAGGCACACAAGCAAACUUUUUAUGCUGUUGGCUGGACAUAACCUGCACAUCCCAAGGAAUGUCUUACAACACCUCCAGAGACCACAUGGCCAGACAGGCCGGACCACACUGGAGGCCGGAGCAUCACAGCAGCAGCAGCUGGACUCAGCCAGUGGACCCUGAAGUACUCAGCAACAGACUUCAGGGCCACACAGGGGGAGAGAAAUUGAACCUGGGGGACCAUGCACAGUUUCCUGCCCUGCCCAACAGGGGGCAUCCCCAACUGGCCCCUGAGUGCAACAGACCUACAACAGAACAAAGUGGGAUGCUCACAGGGACAAGGCAGGAAAUGGAAGCUCUCCCACCCCGGGACAGAGAUCGGAGAAGCAGAGUACGGAGACUCUCUUCCUCUGUCCCCCCUCCCCUGGCUCCUCUCUAUGGGCAUAAAUAAAAGAGACCAGGACCCACAUAACACAUCCAUUAAACAAUUAAGAGCAGUCUAUAGGAAAGCCACAUUCACCUUUCCUAAUGCUGAAAUCAAAUUUCCCAUCAUCAAUUUUUCAACACACCUUCCUCCCAGAACAACGUCAGAAUUUAACAACCAUUAAUGAUUACAUCCUUUCACACUUACCUCAUCAACCACUUCCACAGCAUCUUUUCAGGACCACCCAGGACAAUAUCCACUGGACCCCGGAAACUGCUGGCGAGGUCUUAAAUUUAUAAUCCCUGUACAGCAUCAGGAAGGGUGAAUCUGAGACCCCUUUGGUUCAGCAUUUCCAAAUACAUCCGAUUCCACAUCUAAUCAUCUUUGGUGUGGAAAGCAACCCCAACUGGACUCCUGGUCAAAGGAGGAGAGCGGAGGGAACCUGGAUCAGCCAAGUUCCUGAUACAAUAUACAGUACAUUCAAUACACAAUUGUCAACAAAGAUUAAAUACAUGAAAAGCUCAUCUCCAUCUCCUUUUUUCUCGGUUGUAUACAAAGUUCAAUACAUACUGGAUCAUAUUGCUGGUCUGAUUCAUCAUGGCAUCCUGUAUAUACAUCCUGAGCUGCACCUCUGUUCAUUUGGUUUAUAAUUGAAAGACAGCACUCCA